rnacentral:rRNA from 1 species
GGGUGAGUAACACGUGAGUAACCUGCCCCCGACUCUGGGAUAAGCCCGGGAAACUGGGUCUAAUACCGGAUAUUCACUUCCUUCCGCAUGGGAGGUGGUGGAAAGAUUUAUCGGUGGGGGAUGGACUCGCGGCCUAUCAGCUUGUUGGUGGGGUAAUGGCCCACCAAGGCGACGACGGGUAGCCGGCCUGAGAGGGUGACCGGCCACACUGGGACUGAGACACGGCCCAGACUCCUACGGGAGGCAGCAGUGGGGAAUAUUGCACAAUGGGCGAAAGCCUGAUGCAGCGACGCCGCGUGAGGGAUGACGGCCUUCGGGUUGUAAACCUCUUUCAGUAGGGAAGAAGCGAAAGUGACGGUACCUGCAGAAGAAGCGCCGGCUAACUACGUGCCAGCAGCCGCGGUAAUACGUAGGGCGCAAGCGUUAUCCGGAAUUAUUGGGCGUAAAGAGCUCGUAGGCGGUUUGUCGCGUCUGCCGUGAAAGUCCGGGGCUCAACCCCGGAUCUGCGGUGGGUACGGGCAGACUAGAGUGAUGUAGGGGAGACUGGAAUUCCUGGUGUAGCGGUGAAAUGCGCAGAUAUCAGGAGGAACACCGAUGGCGAAGGCAGGUCUCUGGGCAUUAACUGACGCUGAGGAGCGAAAGCAUGGGGAGCGAACAGGAUUAGAUACCCUGGUAGUCCAUGCCGUAAACGUUGGGCACUAGAUGUGGGGGACAUUCCACGUUUUCCGCGUCGUAGCUAACGCAUUAAGUGCCCCGCCUGGGGAGUACGGCCGCAAGGCUAAAACUC